AUUGAACGCUGGCGGCAGGCUUAACACAUGCAAGUCGAACGGUAACAUAAAGAAGCUUGCUUCUUUGAUGACGAGUGGCGGACGGGUGAGUAAUGCUUGGGAAUCUAGCUUAUGGAGGGGGAUAACUACGGGAAACUGUAGCUAAUACCGCGUAAUAUCGAGAGAUUAAAGUGUGGGACCUUCGGGCCACAUGCCAUAGGAUGAGCCCAAGUGGGAUUAGGUAGUUGGUGAGGUAAAGGCUCACCAAGCCGACGAUCUCUAGCUGGUCUGAGAGGAUGACCAGCCACACUGGGACUGAGACACGGCCCAGACUCCUACGGGAGGCAGCAGUGGGGAAUAUUGCGCAAUGGGGGCAACCCUGACGCAGCCAUGCCGCGUGAAUGAAGAAGGCCUUCGGGUUGUAAAGUUCUUUCGGUAGCGAGGAAGGCAUUUAGUUUAAUAGACUAGGUGAUUGACGUUAACUACAGAAGAAGCACCGGCUAACUCCGUGCCAGCCGCCGCCGUAAAAC
rnacentral:rRNA from 1 species